GCUACAUGAUACUUAUGUUUUUCAGAAGUGAGUGCUUUGUGCAGUUCUGACCUUUACCUAUCAUCCUUGACUAAUGGCU